rnacentral:rRNA from 1 species
UACGGAGGGAGCUAGCGUUGUUCGGAAUUAUUGGGCGUAAAGCGCGUGUAGGCGGCUUUGCAAGUCGGGUGUGAAAGCCCUCGGCUCAACCGAGGAAGUGCGCCCGAAACUGCAGAGCUUGAGUACCGGAGAGGAUGGCGGAAUUCCCCAAGUAGAGGUGAAAUUCGUAGAUAUGGGGAGGAACACCGGUGGCGAAGGCGGCCAUCUGGACGGAUACUGACGCUGAGACGCGAAAGCGUGGGGAGCAAACAGG